AAGACACAGUCACUACAUCACUACACUUAAAACAUUCUAAUCCCUAAAUGAAAAACAUUUAUGCUCUGAAUUUUUUUUUUCUGAAUUUUUUUUUUUUUUCUAACCACACACUCAUACAACUCUAUACAUUUAAAUCCAUAUCCCUACUUGUGGUUAGAAAGCUCAGUGUGUGUUUUCACAGAAGAGAAGCAGAGUUGAUGGCUGAUAAAUGCAUCACACUGGAGGAGAGUUCAUCUCUUAUGGUUUUACUGUAAAUGUUUACAUUCCAGCAUGCCGUGAUGUUAUCAGCUAAUCGUUUUUGGAACAGACUGUGGAGUCCUGUGGGUUGGAUUAUUGGUGGGGUUGGUGGUGUUGGGGGGUGAUUCGCCUGAGGAGACAAGGUCAAUGUGAAGCUGUGCUCUCUCCAAACAAAGUCACUUUCCAUAUGAUGCUACAGCUCCGGUAAAUCAGUACAGACCACCACUUAAAGUGUUUCCUGAGACCCACGGCUGGAAGCAGAACAUGGUUGUCGUGGGAGUUGUCGCGAGCUCGGCUGCCAUUUGUCGCCGUUUAGUUUUGUAUCUCCUGUUCUGGAACCA